rnacentral:rRNA from 1 species
AGUGAACGCUGGCGGUAGGCCUAACACAUGCAAGUCGAACGGCAGCACAGUAAGAGCUUGCUCUUACGGGUGACGAGUGGCGGACGGGUGAGGAAUACAUCGGAAUCUACUUUUUCGUGGGGGAUAACGUAGGGAAACUUACGCUAAUACCGCAUACGACCUACGGGUGAAAGCAGGGGAUCUUCGGACCUUGCGCGAUUGAAUGAGCCGAUGUCGGAUUAGCUAGUUGGCGGGGUAAAGGCCCACCAAGGCGACGAUCCGUAGCUGGUCUGAGAGGAUGAUCAGCCACACUGGAACUGAGACACGGUCCAGACUCCUACGGGAGGCAGCAGUGGGGAAUAUUGGACAAUGGGCGAAAGCCUGAUCCAGCCAUACCGCGUGAGUGAAGAAGGCCUUCGGGUUGUAAAGCCCUUUUGUUGGGAAAGAAAAGCAGCAGGUUAAUACCCCGCUGUUCUGACGGUACCCAAAGAAUAAGCACCGGCUAACUUCGUG